GAUGAACGCUGGCGGCGUGCCUAACACAUGCAAGUCGAACGGUCUCCUUCGGGGGACAGUGGCGCACGGGUGCGGAACACGUAGCCAACCUGCCCGCUUGUGGCGGAUAACGCUCCGAAAGGGGUGCUAAUACGGCAUACGUUCCACUGGCGUAGAGACGGUGGAAGAAAGUCUUCGGACGCAGGCGGAGGGGGCUGCGGCCCAUCAGGUGGUUGGUGCGGUAACGGCGCACCAAGCCGACGACGGGUCGGGGGUCUGAGAGGAUGGCCCCCCACACUGGGACUGAGACACGGCCCAGACUCCUACGGGAGGCAGCAGUGAGGAAUCUUGCACAAUGGGGGAAACCCUGAUGCAGCGACGCCGCGUGGGCGAUGAAGGUCUUCGGAUCGUAAAGCCCUUUUCUGCGUGACGAGGACAAGGACGGUAGCGCAGGAAGAAGCGUCGGCUAACUACGUGC
rnacentral:rRNA from 1 species